UGCCCAGCAGAGCUCUGUUUCUGCUUCACACCAAACCCCACCUGCUGAGCUCAGGAGCAGCCUCAGGACCUCCAUGUAGCAGAAGCUGAUGGCAAAGAGAGAUGGCUUACACAGAAUAUGGUUACACCACGCAAAGAAAUGAACACAGAGCAGAACCUCCAAACUGGUGCUGGAACAAAGGCUUCAUUACCUCUCCAUGAUUUCUGAGAGCUGCAUUCUAGCCAGAAACUGAUUAUCUUUCCGAAUCUCACGAAUGGCUCCUUUCAGUUCACGUUUAUGCUUGUGAAUCAACUGCUUUCUUUCUUGCUCCUGCUUGCUGCUUCCCUGCUUUCUUCCAAACUCCAAACUGAAAAGAGAACAUAUGUGUGAGCACAAAACACCUUAACAAA